AAGAAUCAAAAUCCGAAAGUUCUUUUUUUUGUGUGGUUAAAUGCCAAAAAGUCAAGUCGGCUCAUUCGUCUUUAUCUUGUGUUGAUCAUUACAGGCCUCUUGAAUCUUCUAUAUUACCAAUUUGAGUUCUUUUUUUGAUUUGGUAUUUGUAUGUAAUGUGGCUUUAUUCUUGUUUUCUUUAUUAUUGAUAGGAAUUCUCUUGUUAAGACCCUACGAAUCAAUUGAAACCUCAGAUUCAUACUAGAACCACGAUGAUUCAAUAAAACCUUCAAUUCAAAGUCCAAAGAUUCCCUGAGUAAGAACCCUUGGAUGAUCACUUAUUCAAUGAAUAGAAUAGAUAUAAUGACUAAAAAAAGAAAAUACAAAGAAGCGUUUGUCCUUUGAUCAAAAUAUGCAUAAACAAGAGUUUAAAAGAAGAAAUGUCUUUCGAUUUAGAAUAAAUAUAUAACUUUUUCUUUGGAAAAGAGUCCGGUUACGAGGUCUGAAUAUUAAGUACGAAUCAUAGUCCGAAUACUUUGUGAUCUAUUUCAUAUAUUCCGUGCUCCAGAUACUAGAAUGAAUAUCCGACGAGGUAAAACCAUCUUUAUCAAGAUGACAGACCCAUUCUCUGUGGUCUCAAUAGGAUCAAUUAUAACAAGUCACACACUCAUAUUCCGGAAAUACAACACAGAAGGAAAGAAAUUUCACGGUCGAACUACCAAAACAGAAUAGGCUAAAAAUCCGAGACCUAAAUGCUUCACUUCACUUUUUGUAUUGAAAAGGCUACGACUUCGUGGUUCUUGUGAGUCUAAGUAUUUGAUAUGUCAGUAAGUUAAGGCAGAGCAUCAGCGCCCAGGCGGAUUACUUCAGCCUUUACCGAUUCCGGAAUGGGAGUGAGAAUAUAUCGCCAUGGACUUCGU
rnacentral:lncRNA from 1 species